UAGAGAAACCCUGUCUCGAAAAACCAAAAAAAAAAAAAAAGGCUAUUAGAAAUGCAUAUAAAUAAAUGCAGUCGAUGGAUGUUUAAGGCAUCUUAAGAGAGAUUCUAUUUUAUGGAUGCUCAAUUUCAUCCACGCCCCUCUCAGGACCAAAAGGGCUACUCUCCCAUCUCCUCGAUAACUAAUUUUAGAGUGUUCAAAUCUCAACUCUUGGGUCAUUAACUUCUUCAGUUAGGAAGAAAAUGUUAGUGUCCACUCAGGGAAUGCUGUUUCCUCGAGUUCCCUUGGCUCAGAAAGUCUCCCGGGCCCCGCGCAGGUGCCCUAUGGGGUCCUGAAGCAAGUGAGAUUCCCCCGCCCUGGGUCGUGCAAUUAGUCGGGGUAGUACCUAAACUCCGAAGUCCUGCAGUGCCUCGUCCAUCUUUUGGGUGAAAAAAAAAACUUAUUACACGGACCAGAGGGUGUUCCUGAUUCUUUGUCCGAAAUACUUGGUCCCGGCUCCUAUAGGGAACCCUGAGUCUUCUGCAGUUUUAACGUCAUAAGCAUUCCCAAGCUUCAACCACCGCUCCUCCACAGGACGGCGCUCCCCAACAACCAGAAGCAGCCACCGCGUUUCUGCCGCAGCUCGGUCGCGGCGCUUCCCACAGUGCCUCGGGGCGCGCGCGGGCUCCUGGGAGUUGUGGUCCGGCGACGCGCAGCGUUGCAGCGACUGCUACGGGCUCGGCGCCGGCUUUGUCUGUCUGCGGGCGCGCGCCGCUGCGGUGAGUGUUGCUGAGGCCGGGGCUGUGCGCCCGAGAGAGGGGGCUGUGUCUUGAGCCUGCUGCUCCGGCCAGGGCGCGUGAGCAGGCCAGGCUGGCCGUCCGGGCCAAAAUCGCCAACCGCAGACAAGGGUCCUUGUAACUUGAGGGGAGCUGAAAAGGAAGGCUGGAGCUAUUUCUUCUUAACACCAGUCAGGAAGGCUGGUGUGCUGACUUCUUGCCUGGAAAGUAGAGAACCCCAAUUUUGUAUCAAGACCAAAUGCAAACAGAGCGGCCCUUACCUGGGGACUAACAGUACAGUAGGCACUCCUACUUCUCUGCUAUCUGUUUCCCUCUGCCUCUUUGCUCCUAGAUUCAUUUCUGUGUGGUCAGUCCUGCUAUCUUCCCCACCCCCACCCCAGCCCACCCUGCCCAAACAUUUAUUUAUGAUUAUAUGUAAG
rnacentral:lncRNA from 1 species